rnacentral:rRNA from 1 species
CUGGAACGCGCCCCAGGCGCACCCAGAAACCCUUUGUGAACUUAUACCUUACUGUUGCCUCGGCGCAUGCUGGUCCUCCGGGGCCCCUCACCCCCGGGUGUUGAGACGGCACGCCGGCGGCCAACCCAACUCUUGUUUUUACACUGAAACUCUGAGCACAAAACAUAAAUGAAUCAAAACUUUCAACAACGGAUCUCUUGGUUCUGGCAUCGAUGAAGAACGCAGCGAAAUGCGAUAAGUAAUGUGAAUUGCAGAAUUCAGUGAAUCAUCGAAUCUUUGAACGCACAUUGCGCCCUCUGGUAUUCCGGAGGGCAUGCCUGUUCGAGCGUCAUUUCAACCCUCAAGCCUGGCUUGGUGAUGGGGCACUGCUUCUUACCCGAGAAGCAGGCCCUGAAAUUCAGUGGCGAGCUCGCCAGGACCCCGAGCGCAGUAGUUAAACCCUCGCUCUGGAAGGCCCUGGCGGUGCCCUGCCGUUAAACCCCCAACUUCUGAAAAU